ACGGGAGGCAGCAGUGGGGAAUAUUGGGCAAUGGGCGAAAGCCCGACCCAGCAAUGCCGCGUGAAGGAAGAAGGUCUUCGGAUUGUAAACUUCUUUUAUGAGGGACGAAGGAAUUGACGGUACCUCAUGAAUAAGCCACGGCUAACUACGUGCCAGCAGCCGCGGUAAUACGUAGGUGGCAAGCGUUAUCCGGAUUUACUGGGUGUAAAGGGCGCGUAGGCGGGGAAGCAAGUCAGAUGUGAAAUCUAUGGGCUUAACUCAUAAACUGCAUUUGAAACUGUUUCUCUUGAGUGCUGGAGAGGUAGAUGGGAUUCCUAGUGUAGCGGUGAAAUGCGUAGAUAUUAGGAAGAACACCAGUGGCGAAGGCGAUCUACUGGACAGUAACUGACGCUGAGGCGCGAAAGCGUGGGGAGCAAACAGGAUUAGAUACCCUGGUA
rnacentral:rRNA from 1 species